rnacentral:rRNA from 1 species
AUUGAACGCUGGCGGCAGGCCUAACACAUGCAAGUCGAGCGAGCGGCGGACGGUUGCGUAAUGUCUGGUAAACUGCCUGUUAGCUGGGGAUCACUACUGGAAACGGUAUCUAAUCCCGCAUACCAUCCGAUUUGGCCAGAUGGGAUUAGCUGGUAGGGGGGGUAACGGCUCACCUAGGCGACGAUCCCUAGCUGGUCUGAGAGGAUGACCAGCCACACUGGAACUGAGACACGGGCAAGACUCCUACGGGAGGCAGAAGUGGGGAAUAUUGCACAAUGGGCGCAAGCCUGAUUCAGCAAUGCCGCGUGUGUGAAGAAGGCCUUCGGGUUGUAAAGCACUUUCAGCGGGGAGGCGGUACCCGAAGAAGAAGCACCGGCUAACUCCGUGCCAGCAGCCGCGGUAAUUC